UGUUCCACCCUUUUUGAGGAUUCUGACUGCUGUAUCAGAGAAGCAUUUCAAUAAAAUGUCUUGAUGAAAAUUAACUCCCCUAAUCAUGAAGAGAAGAGGAAGGAGAAGGAGAAGAGCAGGGCUCUGAUGAGGGCUUAGAUGAUGCUCCACUGGGGUUAAACCAAGCAGAAGCUCCACUCUUUCCAGACCUUCCAGAGAAACCAGGAACACAAAGUCCAGGAAAUAAGAACUUGUGGUAUGCGGUACCACCUGGGACCCCUUCAUCCCCUGUCUCUCUGCCCUUGAGUUUCCUGCACCCAGUUUCUAAACUGUUCUCCUUGUACCCGUAGACAUCUCUUUGGCUUCCCAGCACCUCCCUGCAGGCUCAUUCUCCUCUCACACACACCAGGACUCUGUCUGCCAUGGCAGCUCCUCUGUUUAUCUCAAGUUCCCAGGGUCACCACUAGCCAAACACAACAAAGCCAGGCCAGGGAGAGCUCGGCUCCAGACUCAAAUUGGCCCCUCUGGGACAGGUCUCAAAACCAAGGAGGCAGCUCAAAGGAUGUAAAAUGGGAAAAGAAGGGGUUCCAAUUCUGACUCCGAAGCUCUGGAAGGUGAUGAGCGAGUGGUGAGGGUCCGGAGCUGGAGGACAAGGUCCUGUGGGAAGGAGGUCAGGGAAAAACGCAGACACCUCCACAGGGAGAAGACUGCUGGCAGCCCAUCCCUGGCAGCCCACGUUUUGCAGUGGACAAGCAAAGGGGCCUUUAAAUGGUACCCAGUUAAUUCUUCUAAUGGCCUCGUACAUCUCACCCCUGCCCAAGCCCACUCCGCUGUCUCCCACCCCAGCCCCAUCAGCAUCUGGGCAGAAAGUCACCAGGCACAAAGGUGAUUCAAAGAGGAAGUGGCACCUGUGGCUCUCCCUGGAGAUGCUUAGAAUGGCACCUGAUCCCUUGGAGAGGCCAAAGACCAAGGAGGCUCAGGUACUUCUGGCUGCAGCUUCCCAACCCCACUGUGAUUCCAAGAGCGUGAAGGACUCUCAAAAUGUGCUACCCCAGAAGACAGAAGGCCAGUGCUGCUACCUGCAGCCACAAGACUCCACAACCAUGUCCUCAUACUGCUUAUACACCACGUUGUU